rnacentral:lncRNA from 1 species
CAUAAGCUUCUUACUACUAAACAGCAACGAAGGUCACUGUUGUGUGGUUUUUCUAAUCUUGUUUCAGUUAGCGAAAAAAUGCCGAUGAUUGGAGAAAAUAUUUCCUUGGAUGCAUAUUUAUUUUACGACGAGACAUAUCAGCUGUCAAACGAAGGAGAUAACCAGUACUUCAAUAAAUUAUUUAAAGAGGUUGAAGAAUAUCUCCACAACCGCUCAAUAAUGAUAAAUAUAACUGUAAAGGAGGCUGUUAAGAAUAAUAAUUUGACCGUGUAUUUUGAAUCUAACAAAACGAUAGAUGGCCGUCGCACAUUGGAAAACCUCACAACAUACGGAGCGUCUAUG